UACGUAGGGUGCGAGCGUUAAUCGGAAUUACUGGGCGUAAAGCGUGCGCAGGCGGUUUGUUAAGUCUGAUGUGAAAGCCCCGGGCUCAACCUGGGAACUGCAUUGGAAACUGGCAAGCUCGAGUAUGGCAGAGGGGGGUGGAAUUCCGCGUGUAGCAGUGAAAUGCGUAGAGAUGCGGCGGAACACCGAUGGCGAAGGCAGCCCCCUGGGCCAAUACUGACGCUCAGGCACGAAAGCGUGGGGAGCAAACAGG
rnacentral:rRNA from 1 species